rnacentral:rRNA from 1 species
AGNGGAUAACGUUCGGGAAACCGGAGCUAAUACCGGAUAAUAUUCGAACCGCAUGGUUCGAUAGUGAAAGAUGGUUUUGCUAUCACUUAUAGAUGGACCCGCGCCGUAUUAGCUAGUUGGUAAGGUAACGGCUUACCAAGGCGACGAUACGUAGCCGACCUGAGAGGGUGAUCGGCCACACUGGAACUGAGACACGGUCCAGACUCCUACGGGAGGCAGCAGUA